rnacentral:rRNA from 1 species
AGAGUUUGAUCCUGGCUCAGAACGAACGCUGGCGGCAGGCCUAACACAUGCAAGUCGAGCGGCAGCGCGGGGGCAACCCUGGCGGCGAGCGGCGAACGGGUGAGUAAUGCAUCGGAACGUGUCCUCUUGUGGGGGAUAACCAGUCGAAAGAUUGGCUAAUACCGCAUGAGAUCGCGAGAUGAAAGCAGGGGACCGCAAGGCCCUGCGCGAGAGGAGCGGCCGAUGCCGGAUUAGCUAGUUGAUGGGGUAACGGCCUACCAAGGCAACGAUCCGUAGCUGGUCUGAGAGGACGACCAGCCACACUGGGACUGAGACACGGCCCAGACUCCUACGGGAGGCAGCAGUGGGGAAUUUUGGACAAUGGGGGCAACCCUGAUCCAGCCAUGCCGCGUGUGUGAAGAAGGCCUUCGGGUUGUAAAGCACUUUCGGACGGAACGAAAUCGCGCGGGUUAAUAGUCCGCGUGGAUGACGGUACCGUAAGAAGAAGCACCGGCUAACUACGUGCCAGCAGCCGCGGUAAUACA